GACGAACGCUGGCGGCGUGCUUAACACAUGCAAGUCGAACGGAAAGGCCCUGCUUUUGUGGGGUGCUCGAGUGGCGAACGGGUGAGUAACACGUGAGUAACCUGCCCUUGACUUUGGGAUAACUUCAGGAAACUGGGGCUAAUACCGGAUAGGAGCUCCUGCUGCAUGGUGGGGGUUGGAAAGUUUCGGCGGUUGGGGAUGGACUCGCGGCUUAUCAGCUUGUUGGUGGGGUAGUGGCUUACCAAGGCUUUGACGGGUAGCCGGCCUGAGAGGGUGACCGGCCACAUUGGGACUGAGAUACGGCCCAGACUCCUACGGGAGGCAGCAGUGGGGAAUAUUGCACAAUGGGCGGAAGCCUGAUGCAGCAACGCCGCGUGCGGGAUGACGGCCUUCGGGUUGUAAACCGCUCUCACCUGUGACGAAGCGUGAGUGACGGUAAUGGGUAAAGAAGCACCGGCUAACUACGUG
rnacentral:rRNA from 1 species